UGUGAACUCGAAGAGUAGGGCGGGACACGUGGUAUCCUGUCUGAAUAUGGGGGGACCAUCCUCCAAGGCUAAAUACUCCUGACUGACCGAUAGUGAACCAGUACCGUGAGGGAAAGGCGAAAAGAACCCCGGCGAGGGGAGUGAAAAAGAACCUGAAACCGUGUACGUACAAGCAGUGGGAGCACCUUCGGGUGUGACUGCGUACCUUUUGUAUAAUGGGUCAGCGACUUAUAUUCUGUAGCAAGGUUAACCGUAUAGGGGAGCCGCAGGGAAACCGAGUCUUAACUGGGCGUUAAGUUGCAGGGUAUAGACCCGAAACCCGGUGAUCUAGCCAUGGGCAGGUUGAAGGUUGGGUAACACUAACUGGAGGACCGAACCGACUAAUGUUGAAAAAUUAGCGGAUGACUUGUGGCUGGGGGUGAAAGGCCAAUCAAACCGGGAGAUAGCUGGUUCUCCCCGAAAGCUAUUUAGGUAGCGCCUCGUGAACUCAUCUUCGGGGGUAGAGCACUGUUUCGGCUAGGGGGUCAUCCCGACUUACCAACCCGAUGCAAACUACGAAUACCGAAGAAUGUUAUCACGGGAGACACACGGCGGGUGCUAACGUCCGUCGUGAAGAGGGAAACAACCCAGACCGCCAGCUAAGGUCCCAAAGUCAUGGUUAAGUGGGAAACGAUGUGGGAAGGCACAGACAGCCAGGAUGUUGGCUUAGAAGCAGCCAUCAUUUAAAGAAAGCGUAAUAGCUCACUGGUCGAGUCGGCCUGCGCGGAAGAUGUAACGGGGCUAAACCAUGCACCGAAGCUGCGGCAGCGACACUAUGUGUUGUUGGGUAGGGGAGCGUUCUGUAAGCCUGCGAAGGUGUGCUGUGAGGCAUGCUGGAGGUAUCAGAAGUGCGAAUGCUGACAUAAGUAACGAUAAAGCGGGUGAAAAGCCCGCUCGCCGGAAGACCAAGGGUUCCUGUCCAACGUUAAUCGGGGCAGGGUGAGUCGACCCCUAAGGCGAGGCCGAAAGGCGUAGUCGAUGGGAAACAGGUUAAUAUUCCUGUACUUGGUGUUACUGCGAAGGGGGGACGGAGAAGGCUAUGUUAGCCGGGCGACGGUUGUCCCGGUUUAAGCAUGUAGGCUGAUUGUCCAGGCAAAUCCGGAUAAUCAAGGCUGAGGUGUGAUGACGAGGCACUACGGUGCUGAAGUAACAAAUGCCCUGCUUCCAGGAAAAGCCUCUAAGCAUCAGGUAACAUCAAAUCGUACCCCAAACCGACACAGGUGGUCAGGUAGAGAAUACCAAGGCGCUUGAGAGAACUCGGGUGAAGGAACUA
rnacentral:rRNA from 1 species